rnacentral:rRNA from 1 species
AUGUUCGCCUCCGCCCCCGCGGGUUCGCUCCACCUCUCCCACCCGGCGUUCGGCGCCAGGCGCCCAAGGCUCGCGCGCUGCAGGUCCUCCCUGUCGUCGUCGGGCGCGGCGCCCCCGCCGGCCAAUGCCAACCACCUCAUCCAGACGCUCUGCGCCAGCGGCCGCCUCUCCCGCGCCGCCGCGCUCCUCCAGGGCCUCCCCGCCCCCACGCAGCGCACCUACGAGUCGCUCCUCCAGGCCGCCGCCAGGGCCGGGGACGCCGCGCUCGCCGCGGCCGUCCACCGCCGGCUCGAGGCCGACCCGGUCUUCCGCUCCGACCCGUUCCUCUCCACCCGCCUCAUCGACGCCUACGCUGCGCUCGGCGCGCUCCCGGCCGCGCGCCAGGUGUUCGACGAGGCGCCCGACAAGAACAUCUUCGUGUGGAACGCGCUGCUCAAGGCCCUCGCGCUCGCCGACCAUGGCGACGAGGCGCUCGCGCGCUUGGCCGACAUGGGGCGACUCGGCGUUCCCGUUGACAGCUACAGCUACACGCUCGGGCUCAAGGCCUGCAUCGCCGCGUCGGCGUCGCACGCACCGGCCUCCGCCCGUGUACGCGAGGUACACGCACAUGCCAUCCGCCGUGGCUACGCAUUGCACAUGCAUGUCGCCACUACUCUUAUUGACUGCUAUGCAAAGCUUGGGAUCGUCGGCUAUGCUGAGAAUGUGUUUGCUGCAAUGCCAGAGAGGAACGUUGUUUCCUGGAGUGCCAUGAUUGCGUGCUAUGCCAAGAAUGAGAGACCUGCUGAUGCCAUUGAGCUGUUCAAGGAUAUGCUGGCUUCUGAUGCAGACCUGGUGCCUAACUCAAUCACAAUAGUAAGUGUCUUGAAUGCGUGCGCGGGAGUAAACGCACUCGGUCACGGCAAACUAUUGCAUGCCUAUAUUCUUCGGAGGGGUUUCGACUCACUUGUUUCUGUACUGAAUGCACUGAUGGCAAUGUACAUGAGAUGUGGAUGCCUUGAAGUUGGCCGGCAUAUUUUCAAUUGGAUAGGACGCCGGAGGGAUGUUGUGUCGUGGAAUUCACUUAUAUCUGGAUAUGGGAUGCAUGGCUUUGGCCGUGAGGCGAUUCAGGUGUUUGAGAAAAUGGUUCAAGUUGGGUUAUCACCGAGUAUCAUAACAUUUAUCAGUGUUCUUGGGGCUUGUAGCCAUGCCGGACUUGUGGAUGAGGGGAAGAAGUUGUUUGAGUCGAUGACGGAUUAUAGUGUCAAACCCCGUGCAGAGCACUAUGCUUGCAUGGUAGACCUCCUUGGUCGUGCUGGGCAGUUGGAUGAAGCAGUGGAGCUCAUACAGAGCAUGCACAUUGAGCCGAGUCCUCAAGUGUGGGGUGCACUGCUUGGAGCUUGCCGUAUUCAUGGCCAUGUGGAGUACGCAGAGAUGGCUUGCUCUCGUCUCUUCGAUCUUGAACCCAGAAAUGCCGGCAACUAUGUACUACUUGCUGAUAUUUAUUCUCGAGCUAAACUGCAAGACCAAGUUGCCGUGCUAAAGGAGCUGCUUGAGGAGCAUGGGCUAGAGAAGGUGCCGGGGUGCAGCUGGAUGGAGGUGAACAAGAAGAUAUACUCUUUCACAUCUGUGGACAACAAGAACCCCCCGGUUGAGCAGCUUCAAGCUCUGAUAGGUGAGUUUGUGGCACAGAUGAAAAAUGAGGGCUAUGUCCCUGACACAGAGAUAGUCAUGUAUGACAUUGAAGAAGAAGAAAAGGAAAGGAUCUUGCUUGGUCACAGUGAGAAGCUGGCAGUUGCAUUUGGGCUUAUCAACACUCACAGCGGUGAAGUAAUCAGGAUCACCAAGAACCUGAGGCUAUGUGAGGACUGUCAUUCAGUCACCAAGUUCAUCUCCAGAUUCACAGAGCGCGAAAUCGUUGUGAAGGAUGUGAAUCGGUUUCAUCACUUCAGGGAUGGAAUUUGUUCGUGUGGCGAUUAUUGGUGA